AUUGAACGCUGGCGGCAUGCCUUACACAUGCAAGUCGAGCGGUAACAGGCCGCAAGGUGCUGACGAGUGGCGAACGGGUGAGUAAUGCAUCGGAACGUGCCCAGUCGUGGGGGAUAACUGCUCGAAAGAGCAGCUAAUACCGCAUACGACCUGAGGGUGAAAGCGGGGGACCGUAAGGCCUCGCGCGAUUGGAGCGGCCGAUGUCAGAUUAGCUAGUUGGUGGGGUAAAUGCCUACCAAGGCAACGAUCUGUAGUUGGUAUGAGAGGACGACCAGCCACACUGGGACUGAGACACGGCCCAGACUCCUGCGGGAGGCAGCAGUGGGGAAUUUUGGACAAUGGGCGCAAGCCUGAUCCAGCAAUGCCGCGUGCAGGAAGAAGGCCUUCGGGUUGUAAACUGCUUUUGUCAGGGAAGAAAUCUUCUGGGUUAAUACCCCGGGUGGAUGACGGUACCUGAAGAAUAAGCACCGGCUAACAACGUGCCAGCAGCCGCCGCGGUAA
rnacentral:rRNA from 1 species